GACGAACGCUGGCGGCGUGCUUAACACAUGCAAGUCGAACGGAAAGGCCCUGCUUUUGUGGGGUGCUCGAGUGGCGAACGGGUGAGUAACACGUGAGUAACCUGCCCUUGACUUUGGGAUAACUUCAGGAAACUGGGGCUAAUACCGGAUAGGAGCUCCUGCUGCAUGGUGGGGGUUGGAAAGUUUCGGCGGUUGGGGAUGGACUCGCGGCUUAUCAGCUUGUUGGUGGGGUAGUGGCUUACCAAGGCUUUGACGGGUAGCCGGCCUGAGAGGGUGACCGGCGACAUUGGGACUGAGAUACGGCCCAGACUCCUACGGGAGGCAGCAGUGGGGAAUAUUGCACAAUGGGCGGAAGCCUGAUGCAGAAACGCCGCGUGCGGGAUGACGGCCUUCGGGUUGUAAACCGCUUUCGCCUGUGACGAGGCGUGAGUGACGGUAAUGGGUAAAGAAGCACCGGCUAACUACGUG
rnacentral:rRNA from 1 species